rnacentral:rRNA from 1 species
AGUCUUGACAUUGAGCUACUUUCCCAAAAGGCUUCCCUUUAAGUAUCAUUGCCGCUAUAGUGUUUAACAACCAAGUUCGGGAUGGAUUGGAGUGGAUCCACUAUGCUAUAAAUAUCA